rnacentral:rRNA from 1 species
UACAGAGGGUGCGAGCGUUGUCCGGAAUCACUGGGCGUAAAGGGCGCGUAGGUGGCUUGCUAAGCGUGUGGUGAAAGCCCGGGGCUCGACCCCGGGUCGGCCGUGCGAACUGGCGAGCUGGAGCACUGUAGAGGCAGGUGGAAUUCCGGGUGUAGCGGUGGAAUGCGUAGAGAUCCGGAAGAACACCGGUGGCGAAGGCGGCCUGCUGGGCAGUUGCUGACACUGAGGCGCGACAGCGUGGGGAGCAAACAGG